CUGCCAGGAUUUUAUCACCCCUCCUGACACAUUUAUUGUUGGAGGGGCUAGAGGUCCUGGUAGAUGU
rnacentral:snoRNA from 1 species